AGUGUGUGUGUGUGUGUGUGUCUGUUAGUGUGUGUCUGCACACACUAACAGUCACACACACACACUCACUAA